GACGAACGCUGGCGGCGUGCUUAACACAUGCAAGUCGAGCGGAAAGGCCCUGCUUUUGUGGGGUGCUCGAGUGGCGAACGGGUGAGUAACACGUGAGUAACCUGCCCUUGACUUUGGGAUAACUUCAGGAAACUGGGGCUAAUACCGGAUAGGAGCUCCUGCUGCAUGGUGGGGGUUGGAAAGUUUCGGCGGUUGGGGAUGGACUCGCGGCUUAUCAGCUUGCUGGUGGGGUAGUGGCUUACCAAGGCUUUGACGGGUAGCCGGCCUGAGAGGGUGACCGGCCACAUUGGGACUGAGAUACGGCCCAGACUCCUACGGGAGGCAGCAGUGGGGAAUAUUGCACAAUGGGCGGAAGCCUGAUGCAGCAACGCCGCGUGCGGGAUGACGGCCUUCGGGUUGUAAACCGCUUUCGCCUGUGACGAAGCGUGAGUGACGGUAAUGGGUAAAGAAGCACCGGCUAACUACGUG
rnacentral:rRNA from 1 species